rnacentral:rRNA from 1 species
ACGCUCGACACCUACGGAGGCAGCAGUGGGGAAUAUUGCACAAUGGGGGAAACCCUGAUGCAGCGACGCCGCGUGAGUGAAGAAGUAUUUCGGUAUGUAAAGCUCUAUCAGCAGGGAAGAAGAUGACGGUACCUGAGUAAGAAGCCCCGGCUAACUACGCGCCAGCACGCCGGACGGUAAUCUGAGGCGGGCGUGGACGAAGGC